CAGCAGUCGCCGCGGGAAUACGAAGGGUGCAAGCGUUAAUCGGAAUUACUGGGCGUAAAGCGUGCGUAGGCGGUGAGUUAAGUCUGCUGUGAAAUCCCCGGGCUCAACCUGGGAAUGGCAGUGGAUACUGGCUCGCUAGAGUGUGUCAGAGGAUGGUGGAAUUCCCGGUGUAGCAGUGAAAUGCGUAGAGAUCGGAAGGAACAUCUGUGGCGAAGGCGACUAUCUGGGCCAACACUGACACUGAGGCACGAAAGCGUGGGGAGCAAACAGGAUUAGAUACCCGUGUAGUCCCUGUCUCUUAUAC
rnacentral:rRNA from 1 species